rnacentral:misc_RNA from 1 species
CACACCACGGGAGUCGAUUGGUCCCGAAGUGCGUGAGCUAACCCCUUGUGGGAGGCAGCGUCCUAAGGAAUGGUCGGUGACUGGGGUGAAGUCGUAACAAGGUAGCCGUAGGGGAACCUGCGGCUGGAUCACCUCCUUUCAAAGGAGCUCGGAGGCUUGACCUCCUCAGCUCACCUAGGUCAAAACAAAUCACACACACUGCUAUUCGGUUUUGAGAGACCAGAGUCUUCUCUGGUUUUUUGCUCUUUAUAACUUUAUGGAGAUGGGUUAUCGACGAAUGCUGAUACUUGAGCAGACUCGGAUCCGACCAAGGGGCUUGUAGCUCAGUUGGCUAGAGCACACGACUGAUAAUCGUGAGGUCGAUGGUUCGAGUCCAUCCAGGCCCACCAACCCUUUAUUGGGGGUGUAGCUCAGCUGGGAGAGCACCUGCCUUGCACGUAGGGGGUCAUCGGUUCGAACCCGUUCACCUCCACCAAUAAUUUCGUAGGGGCGACCCGUUGGGUCGCCCUUGCUUAACAGUUCUUUGACAAUUGCAUAGUGGAUAGUUUAGGUAGCAGAUGCGUACUCAGUGCGUACGUAUUUGUUUUAGAUUGUAUGAAUUUGUAGUUUUGAUUUGAUUUCGAUUUUUUAUGGUCAAGCUACUAAGGGCGUACGGUGGAUGCCUAGGCAGAGAGAGGCGAUGAAGGACGCGGUAAACUGCGAUAAGCUUCGGGGAGUCGUUAAACAGGCUUUGAUCCGGAGAUUU